CCAGAAUAUUUGUUGGCGUUUAAGCCGAGUUGUGUCAACAAUAGUCGUAUAUACACCAUAAAUUUAGACGUGGUGAGGGUAGCCCCGUGAAGUAACAGGAGAGGGAGUGAAGCGUGAGUGGGUACAGAAAGUAGGUAUGCGUCAAAAACUUUCACUGGACACCACAAAUUGCCAGUGGGGUAGUAAUGGAUAAGAACAGGUUGACCCAUCUGACUAGUCU